UACGUAGGGUGCGAGCGUUGUCCGGAAUUAUUGGGCGUAAAGAGCUUGUAGGCGGUUUGUCGCGUCUGCUGUGAAAAUCCGGGGCUCAACCCCGGACUUGCAGUGGGUACGGGCAGACUAGAGUGUGGUAGGGGAGACUGGAAUUCCUGGUGUAGCGGUGAAAUGCGCAGAUAUCAGGAGGAACACCGAUGGCGAAGGCAGGUCUCUGGGCCACUACUGACGCUGAGAAGCGAAAGCAUGGGGAGCGAAC
rnacentral:rRNA from 3 species